AUGCUCCUAACCAAGCCCCACCCCGCCCUCACCCUCCCCUCCGCAUCCCUCCCAAAUCCUACCCUAAACGCCGCCCGCGUCAGGCCGCUCGCCUCGUCCGCGCCCCAUGGACGCCGCGGGCGCCGCGUCUCGGCCUCCUCCUCCCCGGCGCCAGCGCAGGCCGCGUCCGCGGCGCUGAGCCGCGUGGACGUCCUGUCGGAGGCGCUCCCCUUCAUCCAGCGGUUCAAGGGCAAGACGGUGGUGGUCAAGUACGGCGGCGCGGCCAUGAAGUCGCCGGAGCUGCAGGCGUCGGUGAUCCGCGACCUGGUCCUGCUCUCCUGCGUCGGCCUGCGCCCCGUGCUCGUGCACGGCGGCGGCCCGGAGAUCAACUCCUGGCUGCAGCGCGUCGGCGUCGAGCCGCAGUUCCGCAACGGCCUCCGCGUCACCGACGCGCUCACCAUGGAGGUCGUCGAGAUGGUGCUGGUCGGCAAGGUCAACAAGCAGCUCGUCUCCCUCAUCAGCCUCGCCGGCGCCACCGCCGUCGGCCUCUGCGGCAAGGACGCGCGCCUCCUCACCGCGCGCCCCUCCCCCGACGCCGCGGCCCUCGGGUUCGUCGGCGAGGUCACGCGCGUCGACCCCUCCGUGCUCCGCCCGAUCAUCGCCUCCGGCCACAUCCCGGUCAUCGCCACCGUGGCCGCAGACGAGACCGGGCAGGCCUACAACAUCAACGCCGACACUGCGGCGGGGGAGAUCGCGGCUGCCAUUGGCGCCGAGAAGCUGCUGCUGAUCACUGACGUGUCCGGCAUACUCGCGGACCGGGACGACCCCGGGAGCCUGGUGAAGGAGAUUGACAUCGCCGGCGUCCGGCGGAUGGUGGCCGAGGGGAAGGUGGGUGGGGGCAUGAUACCCAAGGUGGAGUGCUGCGUGCGCGCACUGGCGCAGGGCGUGCACACGGCCAGCAUCAUUGACGGCCGCGUCCCGCACUCUCUCCUGCUCGAGAUCCUCACCGACGAGGGCACCGGCACCAUGAUCACCGGCUGA
rnacentral:rRNA from 1 species